rnacentral:rRNA from 1 species
GGUGACCAGCGGAGGGAUCAUUACCGAGUUUACAACUCCCAAACCCCUGUGAACAUACCAAUUGUUGCCUCGGCGGAUCAGCCCGCUCCCGGUAAAACGGGACGGCCCGCCAGAGGACCCCUAAACUCUGUUUCUAUAUGUAACUUCUGAGUAAAACCAUAAAUAAAUCAAAACUUUCAACAACGGAUCUCUUGGUUCUGGCAUCGAUGAAGAACGCAGCAAAAUGCGAUAAGUAAUGUGAAUUGCAGAAUUCAGUGAAUCAUCGAAUCUUUGAACGCACAUUGCGCCCGCCAGUAUUCUGGCGGGCAUGCCUGUUCGAGCGUCAUUUCAACCCUCAAGCCCAGCUUGGUGUUGGGACUCGCGAGUCAAAUCGCGUUCCCCAAAUUGAUUGGCGGUCACGUCGAGCUUCCAUAGCGUAGUAGUAAAACCCUCGUUACUGGUAAUCGUCGCGGCCACGCCGUUAAACCCCAACUUCUGAAUGUUGACCUCGGAUCAGGUAGGAAUACCCGCUGAACUUAAGCAUAUCAUACCCGGAGGAA